UACGUAGGGGGCAAGCGUUGUCCAGAUUUAUUGGGCGUAAAGAGCGUGUAGGCGGCCUGGUAGGUCAGCUGUGAAAACUCGAGGCUCAACCUCGAGACGCCGGUUGAAACCAUCAGGACUAGAGUCCGGAAGAGGAGAAUGGAAUUCCUGGUGUAGCGGUGAAAUGCGCAGAUAUCAGGAAGAACACCCGUGGCGAAGGCGGUUCUCUGGGACGGUACUGACGCUGAGACGCGAAAGCGUGGGGAGCGAACAGG
rnacentral:rRNA from 1 species